rnacentral:snRNA from 1 species
GUGCUUGCUUCGACAGCACAUAUACUAAAAUUGGAAGGAUACAGAGAAAAUUAGCAUGGCCCCUGGGCAAGGAUGACACGCAAAUUUGUGAAGCGUUCCAUGUUAAA